CACUUUCUAUUUUAUUAUCACAGAUAGCAUCUGUGUGAUAGCUAGAUGUUUCUUCAAAAUAUGAUACUUCAGUCAUAUUGAUCUUUGAAAUAUUUUAACAUGUAUUUGAACAUUAUUUGAACAGAACUUUGAUAUUCUAUAGUAUUGAAAGAUGUUAAAUAAAUUUAACAUAAACAUGUUUAUACCUGAUUUGAUAUUCUUGAAUUUGAUCUUGAAUUGAUGACUUUCGUCUUUGUUAUCAGUCCACUACGACCGUCUAUAAUUCUUUCGAAUUUUGAUUUGUGAACGCUCCAGAGUAUUACCUCAACGUUCUGAUAGCCAGAGUAUUACCUCAACUAUCAACACUAAAAUCUUAAGAUUUUAGGAGAAAUGAAAAACUUCAUUCAAACUUAAUUUCAUUCCGAUUACAAACGAGCAUCAAGGCUCUUAUUUAUAGCGGAGUAGGACUCACAAGUAGUUCACAUGUCCUUAUCCGUGACAGCUAUUAAAGCAAAAGAAAAACGCACUAAAGAAAACGGACAAACAAUAAUUUACAUAAAGUAGAUGCCUUGGUGAUAAGGCAGUCUUAUCCGACCCUACAU
rnacentral:lncRNA from 1 species